AUUGAACGCUGGCGGAAUGCUUUACACAUGCAAGUCGAGCGGCAGCGCGGCCUUCGGGCUGGCGGCGAGCGGCGAACGGGUGAGUAAUGCAUCGGAACAUGCCCAGUCGUGGGGGAUAACACUUCGAAAGAAGUGCUAAUACCGCAUACGUCCUGAGGGGGAAAGCGGGGGAUCGCAAGACCUCGCGCGAUUGGAGUGGCCGAUGUCAGAUUAGCUAGUUGGUGGGGUAAAGGCCUACCAAGGCGACGAUCUGUAGCUGGUCUGAGAGGAUGAUCAGCCACACUGGGACUGAGACACGGCCCAGACUCUUACGGGAGGCAGCAGUGGGGAAUUUUGGACAAUGGGGGCAACCCUGAUCCAGCCAUUCCGCGUGAGUGAAGAAGGCCUUCGGGUUGUAAAGCUCUUUCGGCAGGAACGAAACGGUGGGCUCUAACAUAGUCCGCUAAUGACGGUACCUGAAGAAGAAGCACCGGCUAACUACGUG
rnacentral:rRNA from 1 species